rnacentral:rRNA from 1 species
CCUACGGGAGGCAGCAGUGAGGAAUAUUGGUCAAUGGACGAGAGUCUGAACCAGCCAAGUAGCGUGAAGGAUGACUGCCCUAUGGGUUGUAAACUUCUUUUAUAUGGGAAUAAAAUGUUCCACGUGUGGGAUUUUGUAUGUACCAUAUGAAUAAGGAUCGGCUAACUCCGUGCCAGCAGCCGCGGUAAUACGGAGGAUCCGGGCGUUAUCCGGAUUUAUUGGGUUUAAAGGGAGCGUAGGUGGAUUGUUAAGUCAGUUGUGAAAGUUUGCGGCUCAACCGUAAAAUUGCAGUUGAAACUGGCAGUCUUGAGUACAGUAGAGGUGGGCGGAAUUCGUGGUGUAGCGGUGAAAUGCUUAGAUAUCACGAAGAACUCCGAUUGCGAAGGCAGUUCACUGGACUGCAACUGACACUGAGGCUCGAAAGUGUGGGUAUCAAACAGGAUUAGAUACCCGUGUAGUC